GCAACUAUAGUAUAAAAAUUACAGUACAUUUUCAUUGUAUCGAUAAGAAAAAUUUCUUUAGUAGCU
rnacentral:tRNA from 1 species